rnacentral:rRNA from 1 species
AUUGAACGCUAGCGGGAUGCCUUACACAUGCAAGUCGAACGGCGUGGCGACCGGGUGAGGAAUGUAUCGGAACGUGCCCAGUAGCGGGGGAUAACUACGCGAAAGCGUAGCGAAUACCGCAUACUAUUAGAACCGCCGAUAUCGGAUUAGCUAGUGGGGGGGGGAACGGCUCACCAAGGCGACGAUCCGUAGCUGGUUUGAGAGGACGAACAGCCAAACUGGGACUGAGACACGGCCCAGACUCCUACGGGAGGCAGCAGUGGGGAAUUUUGGACAAUGGGGGAAACCCUGAUCCAGCCAUCCCGCGUGUGCGAUGAAGGCCUUCGGGUUGUAAAGCACUUUUGGCAGGAAAGCGGUACCUGCAGAAUAAGCACCGGCUAACUACGUGCCAGCAGCCGCGGUAAUUC